rnacentral:rRNA from 1 species
CUCUGAAGACGGACUUGCACCCUUAACAACGGAGGACGGAUGAGUAAACCUAGGAAUCUGCCUGGUAGUGGGGGAUAACGUCCGGAAACGGGCGCUAAUACCGCAUACGUCCUGAGGGAGAAAGUGGGGGAUCUUCGGACCUCACGCUAUCAGAUGAGCCUAGGUCGGAUUAGCUAGUUGGUGGGGUAAAGGCCUACCAAGGCGACGAUCCGUAACUGGUCUGAGAGGAUGAUCAGUCACACUGGAACUGAGACACGGUCCAGACUCCUACGGGAGGCAGCAGUGGGGAAUAUUGGACAAUGGGCGAAAGCCUGAUCCAGCCAUGCCGCGUGUGUGAAGAAGGUCUUCGGAUUGUAAAGCACUUUAAGUUGGGAGGAAGGGCAGUAUGUUAAUACCUUGCUGUUUUGACGUUACCAACAGAAUAAGCACCGGCUAACUUCGUGCCAGCAGCCGCGGUAAUACGAAGGGUGCAAGCGUUAAUCGGAAUUACUGGGCGUAAAGCGCGCGUAGGUGGUUCAGCAAGUUGGAUGUGAAAUCCCCGGGCUCAACCUGGGAACUGCAUCCAAAACUACUGAGCUAGAGUACGGUAGAGGGUGGUGGAAUUUCCUGUGUAGCGGUGAAAUGCGUAGAUAUAGGAAGGAACACCAGUGGCGAAGGCGACCACCUGGACUGAUACUGACACUGAGGUGCGAAAAGCGUGGGGAGCAAACAGGAUUAGAUACCCUGGUAGUCCACGCCGUAAACGAUGUCGACUAGCCGUUGGGAUCCUUGAGAUCUUAGUGGCGCAGCUAACGCGAUAAGUCGACCGCCUGGGGAGUACGGCCGCAGGUUAAACUCAAAUGAUUUGACGGGGGCCGCACAGCGGUGGAGCAUGUUGUUUUAUUUCGAAGCACGGGAAAACCUUACCUGGCCUGGAAUGCUGAAACUUCCAGAAAUGAUGGUGCUUCGGAACUAAACCAGGGCUCCUGGCUGCCUCACCUCUGUCGGAGAGUUGGGUAAUCCCGUACGACCGCACCCUGUCCUAGUUCCAGCCCCGGGUGGCCCUUAGAGACUGCGUGGACAACCGAAGAAGGGGGGAUAAUCAUUU